rnacentral:lncRNA from 1 species
CUCCCUUCGAGUCCUGGGGAGCCCUCAGCACUUUGAGGUCCUUCUGAUGCAUCAUUUUGCUCUCUCUGCUGCUGUUACCUCACUCCAGCCCUCAGCUAGAAGCAGCUGCCGUGGCCCUGCGGUGGGAGGGGAGCUGCCAAGCGUGGCCAUCCCUGGUCGGUUCCACUGGGAGAGGAGAGGAGGUCACCAGGCCAUGUUGGUGUGCCACGUUGGGUAUACUUGUCCUUACCAACCUCCUCAACUGUAAGAGCAACCAGAGUAACUGCCCUUCAAAUUUCUGAUAAUGUUGGAAAGAAUUGACUGCUUUGACUUUGGACCCAAACAUUUGCAAGACUGCUCGAUGUUUUAAGGACCUGUAAGGAGGCUGAGGAAUAAGACGUCUGACACAGAGAACUGUGGCUGAAACCUUCCUAAGACUGCUGCCAUUGUGCAAACCAAGUGCACACCAGUAGGAGAGCAGUGCCACAACCGAGCAAUGGCACAAAGCAUCACAGGAGGGGGAGAGAUGG